UAUAGAUGUAUGUGGUGUUGAA
rnacentral:siRNA from 1 species